CGGGGUAACGGCCCACCGGGGCGACGAUCAGUAGGGGUUCUGAGAGGAAGGUCCCCCACAUUGGAACUGAGACACGGUCCAAACUCCUACGGGAGGCAGCAGUGAGGAAUAUUGGUCAAUGGGCGCGAGCCUGAACCAGCCAAGUAGCGUGCAGGAUGACGGCCCUAUGGGUUGUAAACUGCUUUUAUACGGGGAUAAAGUAUGCCACGUGUGGUUUAUUGCAGGUACCGUAUGAAUAAGGACCGGCUAAUUCCGUGCCAGCAGCCGCGGUAAUACGGAAGGUCCGGGCGUUAUCCGGAUUUAUUGGGUUUAAAGGGAGCGUAGGCCGGGUUUUAAGCGUGCCGUGAAAUGUCGGGGCUCAACCUUGACACUGCGGCGCGAACUGGAGUCCUUGAGUGCGCGGAACGUAUGCGGAAUUCGUGGUGUAGCGGUGAAAUGCUUAGAUAUCACGAAGAACCCCGAUUGCGAAGGCAGCAUACGGCAGCGCUACUGACGCUGAAGCUCGAAGGCGCGGGUAUCGAACAGGAUUAGAUACCCUGGUAGUCCGCGCGGUAAACGAUGGAUGCCCGCUGUUGGCGAUAUAUUGUCAGCGGCCAAGCGAAAGCGUUAAGCAUCCCACCUGGGGAGUACGCCGGCAACGGUGAAACUCAAAGGAAUUGACGG
rnacentral:rRNA from 1 species